GAUCCUGGCUCAGGAUGAACGCUAGCUACAGGCUUAACACAUGCAAGUCGAGGGGCAGCUUGAAAGGAACUUUGGUUCUUUUUGAUGGCGACCGGCGCACGGGUGCGUAACGCGUAUCGAACCUGCCUCAUACUCGGGGAUAGCCUUGCGAAAGUAAGAUUAAUACCCGGCGGUCUCGGAUGGCCGCAUGACUAUCCGAGUGAAGAUUUAUCGGUAUGAGAUGGCGAUGCGUCCCAUUAG
rnacentral:rRNA from 1 species